rnacentral:miRNA from 1 species
AAGCAAUGGGGUAAGGAACAG